rnacentral:misc_RNA from 1 species
UUGCCCUCCUCCCUUUCUUAUCUUAAUAUCAUAUUUGGUUGACUCUGCUAAGUCAACGGUGUAAAGAGAAGGUGGGGGAAGAUUGGCCCAACAUAUCUCACAUUCCACAUAUACAUAUCUCACAUUCCAGAUAUUUAUAUUUAUCAAACAUGAUGAGGUAUUAUUUGUUGAAACUUAAAUUUGAAAUUUCUUAUAAUUUUAUGCUUAAAAGUGUUUCUCUAUUUCAUCGUAAUCAUUGGUUAUGUCCUGUUAUCAUGCAUCUUUUUUUUUUGG